GGGGGUAUAGCUCAGUGGUAAAGUAUUCGACUGCAGAUUGAAAGGCCUCCUGUUCAAACCCGGGUGUCCUAUUCU
rnacentral:tRNA from 1 species